AUGUCUCCUAUGGCUUCUUCUCCUCUUCAAGCUGAGACUUUUGGUCUCAUGCUUGCAACCAGGCUGGCGGAAAUACUCAAUGUUCAGGAUCCACAUUUCUUUACGGAUUGUUCAGUGCUAGUUUCGGCAGCAAAAUCGACGGACAUUCUCUCUGCUCCAGGUCCAUGGGACAACAGGCCACUGCUUGCACAGAUACAAAACAGUCUUUCUUUUCAGAGUGGCAAAGUUGCUCACAUUAGCAGGGGAAACAAUGUCAAGGCGCAUCAUCUUGCACGCCUAGCUUUGAAAGUUAAAAACAGCCAUGUACAGUUUCGUUGCUUAUGUCUUGAUGCAGGACUUUGUUCAACUAGGGAUUCCCUCUCUGUAUCCAGUGUGCUUCCUUUCACGCUUGUCUCUGUAAAAUGCUCCUAA
rnacentral:rRNA from 1 species